rnacentral:rRNA from 1 species
CAGCCGCCGCGGUAAUACAGAGGGUGCAAGCGUUAAUCGGAUUUACUGGGCGUAAAGGGCGCGUAGGUGGUUAUUUAAGUGAGAUGUGAAAGCCCCGGGCUUAACCUGGGAACUGCAUCUUAUACUGGGUAACUGGAGUGCAGUAGAGGGUAGUGGAAUUUCCGGUGUAGCGGUGAAAUGCGUAGAUAUCGGAAGGAACACCAGUGGCGAAGGCGGCUACCUGGACUGAGACUGACACUGAGACGCGAGAGCGUGGAGAGCAAACAGGAUUAGAUACCCGUGUAGUCCCUGUCUCUUAUAC